CGUGCAGGCGGCAUCGUAAGUUGUGCGUGAAAGCGCUCUGGCUCAACCGGGCGAGGACGUGCAAAACUGCGGUGCUAGAGAUAGGUAGAGGUAUGUGGAAUUCCGGGUGUAGUGGUGAAAUGCGUAGAGAUCCGGAGGAACACCAGUGGCGAAGGCGACAUACUGGGCCUUAUCUGACGCUAAGACGCGAAAGCAUGGGUAGCGAACAGGAUUAGAUACCCUGGUAGUCC
rnacentral:rRNA from 1 species